GUUAUAUCAGGCAUCGGAAACAGUUACAUCUAUAAAACUGCAAUAAAUUCCUACGUCAAAGGUGUGCAUAAGACUAAAGUCCAAAUUGUAGUGAUUUCAAAACUGAAUAGGAAUUUUCAGGGUGAAAUAAAGCUGUGAAAGCAAACAUGACACUCCAAAUUAGUGGCUGAAGUAGUUGGGAUGAGAUAUGCAAUGAAGUUUGUGAUGGAGGCAAAUUCUAUACUUUUUUUUUUUGUUUUUUUUAAAUAAAAUCUUUCAUUAUGAUAGUUUAAUUUUUGGGGUACUUUUCAAUAAGAUUAAUCAGUGGAAUAAACAUGUGCUGUAGCAUUAUUAAAACUGUUUAAGAUGCAAAU